GGGGGUCGGGCUGCAGGAGGAGGCGCCCGGACCGCGGAGCAAGAGCCCGGGUAGCGGUCCGCGCCGGGGCGGGCGCUCCGUCAGCACCGGACAGACAAUACAAGCACCUCGGAGCGAGUCCCCGAACCUGCCCUAGCCAAAAUGGCGGCCGAGAAAGAGCGGAAGUGACGGUACUUUGUUUUCUUGUCCACUGGUUUCCAAGCAGCUUUGGGAGGCACAGGAAGAAGGAAGCACUCAAGGAGAAGGGGAGAAGUCCAAGUGCCUUCCCCUUUCCUCUGCCCCCCGGCACGGACCAGAUUCCAUCCACGGCCCCCGCUUCUGCCAAGCAUCCCUGACUCCACCCUUCUAGCUCCUCUGGGCAGCCCGGGUUCCCAGCUCUAAAAACACCAUCUCCUCCAUUGCUGCUCCAGCCCAGGAGCGGUAGUGAGCUCCAGCUGCUACUAAUCUCUGAGUAGCCCCACUGUUCCAUUUGGCUUCUCAGCAACUCCUUCACCUGUGUAACCAGAUUCUCUGUAUUAAA